GCCCUUGUAGCUCAACUGGAUAGAGCGCUGGUCUUCGGAACCAGAGGUUAGGGGUUCGACUCCUCUCAGGGGCA
rnacentral:tRNA from 1 species